GAUGUCCAUGCUCCUGGUGCAGCUUCCCAGAUUCGUCUUGCAUCUACAAGGGAUUUGAACUUAAAUAUAUCUGUGUCUAAUGCCAACACAAUAUUUCAGGCCUAUGCCAGCUGGAAUAACCUCAGCCAUGUCAAGGAGUCCUACCAGGAUGCAGUCUCACCAAUUGGAGGAAGCAGGUCCAUCAUUGAUGUUCAUCACAGAAGAAAUUACUUCAUUAU
rnacentral:misc_RNA from 1 species